rnacentral:rRNA from 1 species
CCUACGGGGGACUGCAGUCGAGAAUCAUUCACAAUGGGGGAAACCCUGAUGGUGCGACGCCGCGUGGGGGAAUGAAGGUCUUCGGAUUGUAAACUCCUGUCAUGUGGGAGCAAAUUAAAAAGAUAGUACCACAAGAGGAAGAGACGGCUAACUCUGUGCCAGCAGCCGCGGUAAUACAGAGGUCUCAAGCGUUGUUCGGAAUCACUGGGCGUAAGGCGUGCGUAGGCUGUUUCGUAAGUCGUGUGUGAAAGGCGCGGGCUCAACCCGCGGACGGCACAUGAUACUGGGAGACUAGAGUAAUGGAGGGGGAAGCGGAAUUCUAGGUGUAGCAGUGAAAUGCGUAGAUAUCGAGAGGAACACUCGUGGCGAAGGCGAGUUCCUGGACAUUAACUGACGCUGAGGCACGAAGGCCAGGGGAGCGAAAGGGAUUAGAUACCCGUGUAGUC